UUUUGUAUAAGUUAUCUGAUUAAGAAUUAUUUAUGAAAAAAUCAGAAUUUGAAGGGUUGGAUAAAUAUAUUGAUAUCUCAUGAUAUAGGCACAAUUUUAGGCUUAAAUUUUUAAUGAUGCUGUAUAGGGAUGUCUUGAAUAUAUAGUUAAAAUUUGAUAUUAUCUGACGGUUGGAUCAUUAUAUAUAAAUUUGAAUGCACAAGCUGCCAGAUUGGGUAUUGAUGGUUAAGUUAAGUUGAAUAAGUGAUUUUGAUGAAACUAAGAUUAUUUUGAGAUAGGAUAUGAAGUUGUUGAAUUAUUAUAUGAUUGUGGAAUAUUUUUUUGAGAAAUAUAUAUGUGGAUUUUAGUUGGAUUUUUGGUGUAAGUAUAUUUUAAUGAUUAAGGAAAUUAUGGAAUUGAGUAUUAUUUUUGAUAUUAUAAUUUUUAUAGAGCUAUAAGUUGGUUAAUUGAAAAUAUUGAUAUGAUUAAUGGCUUGUGGAUUUGAGAUUUAUGACGGAGAGUUUAGUCCAAUUUAAAUGGAAAUGCUGUUAAAUUUUAUCAGAUUUUUAAUUAGAAAAGUAGAAGUUUAUGGUUGAUUUUGAUUGAUUAUUGUUAUGGUUUUAGGAGGAGCUUUUGAUUAUGGUUUUAAGUGGAUGGAAAGUGAUAUUUGCUAGUUAGUAUCAUGAGGUCAGUUUUGCAGGAAAUUUAGGGUGAAUAUUGGGUAUCAGUUUUAUGGAUCUUAGAGCUUCGAUUGGCUAGAAUCCACAGUCUUAGAGAGCAUCGGAAGAAUGAUUAUUCAGUAGAGAUAAAGGUGUGACAUCAUUAUUUUUAAUGACAAAUGAUUGCGAAGGGUUACCAUUUA